AGCGAAGCUGUUCUCACGCGGCGACACGCGGCCACCAUCUCCCCAAUGCGCGUCGCCACGUGCCACCUCGAUGCACCCACGGAAAACUCAUAAUUGUCAUAACAUUCGAGCUGUGCUCGCUCGAAGGAACACCAAUACCGGCUACUCGAUCUACGAAAGUCAUGUCGCAUCUUCGGGAAAUCAUUCUCGCCCUUCAUAAGGAAGAGUUAAACGAUCCUAAAGUAACGUCAUACGGACGACGUCACAAUGCGGCAUUCCAAUUGCAUCGAUGACGUCAAACAAGACUACUUGCAUCUUAAAUUGUCCUGAAAUUAGUUCGCUAUCCUGUAUAUCUACGAUACCAUAUGUACAUAAAUAUACGUAGGAAACAUGUACGAAAUUCGAUAUAAGUAACAACGUGAUAAAAUAAAGGAGAAAAAGAUGCUUGACGCAAAGAUGCGUGACGCAUCCUCGUA